rnacentral:lncRNA from 1 species
AACUAUCAAAAUCGAAUGUCUAUUUCCUGAAUUCACAAAUUACAGUACAUUCAAGUCAUAACAAAAUCGAUGUAUUUUGUUGGUCUCUAUUUCGGCGUAUCAUUUGUCUAUUUUCUUUUCUAAAGUCUAAAUGCAACCAAACUUGACCACUAUCAUCAAUAGGGUAUUUAGUUUAAGAAUGUGUCUGAUGACCCUGACUAUCAACACACAUGGCCCACAUGUUUAAAAUUUAAAAAUAGGGGGUAAAAUGCAGUUAACAAAAAAUAUGGUGCCUCUAGUUUUACAACAUAGGAAGAAGGUUGCUUUUGCCACCACGCAAUGAAAAUUAAUUGUUUCGUGAAUAUUUAUAAACAUUUGGGGUACUAGUAUUUUUGAUUCAGCGUGAUUUUUAAUAGUUCAUAUUGAUAUUGAAUAAUGAUUCGAAAUAUAGUUUCGCUUAAAGUGGCCACUCUAAUACCCACCAAACAAAUUAUGUAGAUUCUGACAAUGAAAGUGAUUAAAGAGGAUAUAUAUUCAAUAAAGAAUCUAGGGCAGCACUAGGUCAAAUAACAUAUUAAUUCAAAUUGCAGAAGAGCUAGUACACACAAAAUGCCGAAUAAAACUUGUUUAUUUCAUCGUCUCUGGUUGUCAAACGUCACUGUGUACUUGUAGAUCGCACACAUACAAACGCCACUCCACUAAUAGCAGGAAACUUGAAAACCAAUCAGAAGAAGUACAAC